AUGACUUGUGUCAGUGGCAUGAUUACUGAGGUGGUAGAAGAAGGUGAGCCAAGUCUAUAAAAUUAUAAGAAAGAUGUGCUCAGUGGAGCAUGACACAAAAUAAAAAAGACACCCUGCAGUGCCUGAGACAGCCACAGUAAAGCUGCUAAUCUUUAAACCUGCACUGACAGUCCCCACCAUGGAUGUCAAAGGACUCUAAAGGCUUGUCCUGCUUCCCUGAGGUUUAUCUGAAUUUAACUUGAAACAGAUGGACAGCUUAAGCUUUGAGAUCAUUAAGGGUCUUUUAAGAUGAGAGACAUUUUUGCACUCCCUGGUACAACAUUUAUUGAGCAUCUACUAAUGUGCUGGAUCAUGAGGAUGAAUAGCAUUGUCUCUCCUGUCUCAGCCAGGUCUUUCAAUUCAUGGGAAGGAAAGAGUAAAUACCCAAUUCAGACAUGGUGCUGCACCAGCCACAUGGUCCAAGCAGAUUCAAGGGUCUUAGUAGAUGCUGGAAAUUGCUGUCACUGGGACAGAGCAGAAUGGAUGGAACCCAGGACAUCAACUGCAUUCCUUCUUGCCAUGGCACUCAUGAAGGUGUCGCACAGAGAUAUUAGGAGCACAUGUUGAACACAACAGAGCUACUAUGUGGAUGGAACCUGGGUCCCUGCAUCUCUGCAUGGAAGACUAUGUCAAACAUUCACAUAGAGCUUUGUACAUGUGAGAAUAAACCUUA